AAGUAGCAAUACUUAGUGGCAGACGGGUGAGUAACAUGUAGGUAUCUGCCCUUUGGCCUGGAAUAACACGAGGAAACUUGUGCUAAUACCGGAUAAGUCUUUACGGAGAAAGCUUUAUGCACCAUUGGAUGAGCCUGCACUUGAUUAGUUUGUUGGUGGGGUAAUGGCCUACCAAGACUGUGAUCAAUAGCUGAUUUGAGAGGAUGAUCAGCCACAUUGGGACUGAGACACGGCCCAAACUCCUACGGGAGGCAGCAGUGGGGAAUCUUGCACAAUGGAGGAAACUCUGAUGCAGCGAUGCCGCGUGAGUGAAGAAGGCCCUUGGGUUGUAAAGCUCUUUCGUCGGGGAAGAAAAUGACUGUACCCGAAUAAGAAGGUCCGGCUAACUUCGUGCCAGCAGCCGCGGUAAUACGAAGGGACCUAGCGUAGUUCGGAAUUACUGGGCUUAAAGAGUUCGUAGGUGGUUGAAAAAGUUAGUGGUGAAAUCCCAGAGCUUAACUCUGGAACUGCCAUUAAAACUUUUCAGCUAGAGUAUGAUAGAGGAAAGCAGAAUUUCUAGUGUAGAGGUGAAAUUCGUAGAUAUUAGAAAGAAUACCAAUUGCGAAGGCAGCUUUCUGGAUCAUUACUGACACUGAGGAACGAAAGCAUGGGUAGCGAAGAGGAUUAGAUACCCUCGUAGUCCAUGCCGUAAACGAUGUGUGUUAGACGUUGGAAAUUUAUUUUCAGUGUCGCAGGGAAACCGAUAAACGCACCGCCAGGGGAGUACGACCGCAAGGUUAAAACUCAAAUGAAUAGACGGGGACCCGCACAAGUAGUGG
rnacentral:rRNA from 1 species